rnacentral:misc_RNA from 1 species
GUGAAUCAUCAAAUCUUUGAACGCAAAUUGCGCUUCCUAGCAUCCCGGGGAGUAUGCCUGUUUGAGGGUCAGUAUUAACAACAAAAUCGGUUUGGUUGCAAAUUGUGACGUUUCAGGAGUUUGGGCUAUCGUGACUUUUUUGGUUAGGGGCGUCACAUUGACCUUUUUUGCGCAUUUUUAGACGUACAUAAAUUUUUUUUUUUUUCGU